AUUGAACGCUGGCGGCAUGCCUUACACAUGCAAGUCGAACGGCAGCACGGGAGCAAUCCUGGUGGCGAGUGGCGAACGGGUGAGUAAAGUAUCGGAACGUGCCCAGUCGUGGGGGAUAACGUAGCGAAAGUUACGCUAAUACCGCAUACGAUCUAUGGAUGAAAGCGGGGGAUCGCAAGACCCCGCGCGAUUGGAACGGCCGAUAUCAGAUUAGGUAGUUGGUGGGGUAAAGGCCCACCAAGCCGACGAUCUGUAGCUGGUCUGAGAGGACGACCAGCCACACUGGGACUGAGACACGGCCCAGACUCCUACGGGAGGCAGCAGUGGGGAAUUUUGGACAAUGGGCGAAAGCCUGAUCCAGCCAUGCCGCGUGCAGGAUGAAGGCCUUCGGGUUGUAAACUGCUUUUGUACGGAACGAAAAGGACUGCCCUAAUACGGUGGUCCCAUGACGGUACCGUAAGAAUAAGCACCGGCUAACUACGUGCCAGCAGCCGCCGUAACAC
rnacentral:rRNA from 1 species